rnacentral:rRNA from 1 species
AGAGUUUGAUCCUGGCUCAGGACUAACGCUGGCGGCGUGCCUAACACAUGCAAGUCGAACGAAGUAGCAAUACUUAGUGGCAGACGGGUGAGUAACACGUAGUCAACCUACCUUUAAGUGGGGGAUAACUAGCCGAAAGGUUAGCUAAUACCGCAUGUGAUCUCCGAGUGGCAUCACUUGGCGAUCAAAGCAGCAAUGCGCUUAGAGACGGGACUGCGUCCCAUUAGCUAGUUGGUGGGGUAAUGGCCUACCAAGGCUCCGAUGGGUAGCUGGCUUGAGAGAGCGACCAGCCACACUGGAACUGAGACACGGUCCAGACUCCUACGGGAGGCAGCAGUGAGGAAUUUUCCGCAAUGGGGGCAACCCUGACGGAGCGACGCCGCGUGUGGGAAGAAGGCCUUCGGGUCGUAAACUGCUUUUCUCUGGGACGAGAUACGGACGGUACCAGAGGAAGAAGCCCCGGCUAACUACGUGCCAGCAGCCGCGGUAAUAC